rnacentral:rRNA from 1 species
UACGGGGGGUGCGAGCGUUGUCCGGAAUCACUGGGCGUAAAGGGCGCGUAGGUGGCGUCGUAAGUCUGUGGUGAAAGCCCGGAGCUCAACUCCGAGCUUGCAGUCGAUACGGGCAGGCUAGAGUUCGGCAGGGGAGACUGGAAUUCCUGGUGUAGCGGUGAAAUGCGCAGAUAUCAGGAGGAACACCGGUGGCGAAGGCGGGGUCUCUGGGCCGAUACUGACGCUGGAGGAGCGAAAGCGUGGGGAGCGAACAGG